AGAGUUUGAUCCUGGCUCAGGAUGAACGCUGGCGGCGUGCCUAAUACAUGCAAGUCGAACGGAGACAGUAGCAAUAUUGUCUUAGUGGCGAACGGGUGAGUAACGCGUUGGUAACCUGCCCCGAAGUGUGGGAUAACGGUCCGAAAGGGCCACUAAUACCGCAUGUGAUCCCAGGGAACAGAUACUUGGGAUGAAAGGAGCAAUUCGCUUCGGGAGGGGCCUGCGUCCCAUCAGCUAGUUGGUAAGGUAAUGGCUUACCAAGGCAAUGACGGGUAGGGGACCUGAGAGGGUGGCCCCCCACAAUGGAACUGAAACACGGUCCAUACACCUACGGGUGGCAGCAGUAGGGAAUAUUGGUUAAUGUGCGAAAGCGCGAACCAGCAACGCCGCGUGUGCGAUGAAGGCCUUCGGGUCGUAAAGCACUUUUUGCAGGGACGAGGAAGGACGGUACCUGCAGAAUAAGUCUCGGCUAACUACGUGCCAGCAGCCGCGGUAAAACGUAGGAGACGAGCGUUAUCCGGAUUUACUGGGCGUAAAGCGCGUGCAGGCGGCAUGGCAAGUUGGAUGUGAAAGCUCCCGGCUUAACUGGGGGAGGUCGUUCAAUACUGCCAGGCUUGAGAGUGGUAGAGGGAAGCGGAAUUCCGGGUGUAGUGGUGAAAUGCGUAGAUAUCCGGAGGAACACCAGUGGCGAAAGCGGCUUCCUGGCCCAUUUCUGACGCUCAGACGCGAAAGCUAGGGUAGCAAACGGGAUUAGAGACCCCGGUAGUCCUAGCUGUAAACGAAUGUGAACUUGGCGUUGGCGGGUUUAAAUCCGUC
rnacentral:rRNA from 1 species